AACGUAGGAGGCGAGCGUUAUCCGGAGUUACUGGGCGUAAAGCGCGUGUAGGUGGCUGAUUACGUCUGCUGUGAAAGCGCCCGGCUUAACCGGGACGAUGCGGUAGAUACGGAUCGGCUAGAGGGUGACAGAGGAGCGUAGAAUUCCGGGUGUAGUGGUGAAAUGCGUAGAGAUCCGGAGGAAUACCAGUGGCGCAAGCGGCGCUCUGGGUCGAGCCUGACACUGAGACGCGAAGGCAUGGGGAGCGAACGGG
rnacentral:rRNA from 2 species